GAGAAAACAGUCAGUAAUGUUGUAAUAUGUUUUUUUUGGUCAGGAUGAAAGGAACCACAUUUUAACAACAGCUAGCUGGAUAACACAGAAGUGGACAGACUACCAUCUACGAUGGAAUGUAUCUGAUUUCAACGGAAUUACAGUUAUCCGUGUACCGGCUAGUCAAGUGUGGAGACCGGACAUCCUUCUUCACAACAACGUCGGCGUAGAACAGACGUCUGACGUCAUUAAUACAAACGUUAUCGUGAAACACACAGGAGAAGUCAAGUGGAUCUGGAGAGCUUUGUUGAAAAGUUCUUGCCCUAUUGACAUCGAGUGCUUCCCGUUUGACGUCCAGUAUUGUCCGAUGAGGUUCGUAUCUGGAGCUUAUGACGGCUUACAGGUAGGCGGGAAC